rnacentral:lncRNA from 1 species
AUGUCCUUUUUCCUUUUUUGUCCUCAGGCCAGUUCAGCAGGUCACCAGACUCACCACACAAUCCAUGGCUUGCCCUCUUCCAGCACACCGGUGCAGGCACCGCUACAGUACCUUCAGCUUGGACAAAGUUACCCAGCUGCUCCCUAUACCGGCCAACACUGUGCAGCACCAGCUCCAGCUAGUCUCUGUUCAGUUACAGGCCUUUCUGCUAGUUAUGUUCCUGCAAAUAUGCAACAGACUCUACAAAAUACAGGAAAUAUUAUACCAUCAGCUGUGCCACAAAACUACCAGUCACCAAGUCACAAACAGCAACAACCAACAGCAGCGAGUUCUUUAAACUUUUCUUCAAAAGCCCAACAGACUUGUCAGAACUGUGUGAUGCCAACAACACAACAGAGUGUCUCUGCAUCAGGAUAUUCUGCUCCUGUUCAGCAGCAUACUGCUGCAGCCCCUGCUGUCCCAUCACAAAGCUAUCCUGCUGGCUCUGUAGUUCCAGGUUUAGCAACCCAAGCCCAGUGUCAUCCUGCACAAGUUCCCAGUGUGCUGCAACAGGUUCAAGGCACAGUCUGCCUCUCAAGUCAGCAUUCUGGUCAGAGCUCCUCCACACCAGCACUUUAUAGCCAACAGAUGCCAAUCCAACAAGAGAACCAGCAGACCUUCCUGCAAAGUUCUCAGUCCAAUAUUCAAGUAGCCCAAAAUGUCGGGCAGGGAUAUCUGAAGCCUCAACUCCAGCAUAAUCAAGAAAUUCAACAUAACCUUGUACAACAAAUGGCACAGCCGACCACAAAUCAGCAACAAGUCCAAACUCCAGCUAACCUUAGUCACAGUCAGAAACCCAUGCAGGCAACAGUUCGGCAGCAGAGCCAUGACACAUACCAGUCGACAUUCCAACAGACUCCUACACCAGCCUCACAACCUCUCCCCACCACUUCCCCUGUUAGUGUGGCAGCUGCACACCAAAGUUUCCCUGCUGCUGGUCUACAUGAUGCUGGCCCACAAAGCUAUUCAUGUUCUACCUUCAGCAUCCUGCAACAAUCAACUCCUCCAGCUCAAAACCAGUACCUGUCUGCACAGUCUACAACUCCACAAGCCUAUGGGGAGUUGAGCCAGGUGGGAUUCUUCAGGACUUUUCUAUCCUGUCAUGAAAUGAUGCAUUGCAGCAAGGUUUAA